UACGGGGGGAGCAAGCGUUGUUCGGAUUUACUGGGCGUAAAGGGCGCGUAGGCGGUCGUGACAAGUCACUUGUGAAAUCUCCGGGCUUAACUCGGAACGGUCAAGUGAUACUGUCGGGCUAGAGUACAGAAGGGGCAACUGGAAUUCUCGGUGUAGCGGUGAAAUGCGUAGAUAUCGAGAGGAACACCUGCGGCGAAGGCAGAUCUCUGGGCCGUAACUGACGCUGAGGAGCGAAAGCGUGGGGAGCGAACAGG
rnacentral:rRNA from 1 species